rnacentral:pre_miRNA from 1 species
CUUGUUCCCUAUGUUAAGGGAGCCUGUUUGUAAAUAGGGCAGGUCCCCUGCAUAAGGACAGUGU